rnacentral:rRNA from 1 species
CCUACGGGUGGCAGCAGUGAGGAAUAUUGGUCAAUGGGCGCGAGCCUGAACCAGCCAAGUAGCGUGAAGGAUGACUGCCCUACGGGUUGUAAACUUCUUUUAUAAAGGAAUAAAGUGAGGCUCGUGUGCCUGUUUGUAUGUACUUUCUGAAUGAGGAUCGGCUAACUCCGUGCUAGCAGCCGCGGUAUAGGGGGGAUACGAGCGUUUUCCGGAUUUAUUGGGUUUAACGGGAGCGUAGAUGGGUUGUUAAGUCAGUUGAGAAAGUGUGCGGCUCAACCGUAAAAGUGCAAUUGAUACUGGCAGUCUUGAGUACAGUUGAGGUAGGCGGAAGUCGUGGUGUAGCGGUGAAAUG